rnacentral:rRNA from 1 species
UACGGAGGGGGCUAGCGUUGUUCGGAAUUACUGGGCGUAAAGCGCGCGUAGGCGGACCUGCAAGUCGGGGGUGAAAGCCCGAGGCUCAACCUCGGAACUGCCUUCGAUACUGCCGGUCUCGAGUCCGGGAGAGGUGAGUGGAAUUCCUAGUGUAGAGGUGAAAUUCGUAGAUAUUAGGAAGAACACCAGUGGCGAAGGCGGCGCACUGGCUCGGUACUGACGCUGAGGCGCGAAAGCCAGGGGAGCGAACGGG